AGCGAACGCUGGCGGCAUGCCUAACACAUGCAAGUCGCACGGGGGGGCUUCGGCCUCCCAGUGGCGGACGGGCGAGGAACGCGUAGGGACCUGUCGAGGGGUGGGGGAUAACCGCGGGAAACUGCGGCUAAUACCGCAUGACGCCGCGGCGUGACAGCCGGGGCCAAAGGCGAAAGCCGCCCGCGGAGGGGCCUGCGACCGAUUAGCUGGUUGGCGGGGUAGCGGGCCACCAAGGCGUCGAUCGGUAGCUGGUCUGAGAGGGUGAGCAGCCACACCGGGACUGAGACACGGCCCGGACUCCUACGGGAGGCAGCAGUGGGGAAUAUUGGACAAUGGGCGCAAGCCUGAUCCAGCAAUGCCGCGUGGGUGAAGAAGGUCUUCGGAUUGUAAAGCCCUUUCGGCGGGGACGAUGGUGACGGUACCCGCAGAAGAAGCCCCGGCUAACUUCGUG
rnacentral:rRNA from 1 species